GGGCUUGACAUCCCACGAACCUUGCCGAAAGGCAGGAGUGCCCGCAAGGGAGCGCGGAGACAGGUGGUGCAUGGCUGUCGUCAGCUCGUGUCGUGAGAUGUUGGGUUAAGUCCCGCAACGAGCGCAACCCUUACCCCUUGUUGCCAUCAGGUCAUGCUGGGCACUCUAGGGGAACUGCCCCGGUCAACGGGGAGGAAGGCGGGGAUGACGUCAAGUCAUCAUGCCCCUUACGCCCUGGGCUACACACGUGCUACAAUGGCCGGUACAAAGGGAUGCAAGACCGCGAGGUGGAGCUAAACCCAAAAAGCCGGUCUAAGUUCAGAUUGGAGUCUGCAACUCGACUCCAUGAAGGAGGAAUCGCUAGUAAUCGCGUAUCAGCACGACGCGGUGAAUACGUUCCCGGGCCUUGUACACACCGCCCGUCACACCACGAAAGUCAGUUGUACUCGAAGUCGCUGAG
rnacentral:rRNA from 1 species